rnacentral:rRNA from 1 species
AUUGAACGCUGGCGGCAUGCCUUACACAUGCAAGUCGAACGGCAGCACGGGAGCAAUCCUGGUGGCGAGUGGCGAACGGGUGAGUAAUAUAUCGGAACGUGCCCGGUCGUGGGGAUAACGUAGCGAAAGCUACGCUAAUACCGCAUACGAUCUACGGAUGAAAGCGGGGGAGUCGCAAGACCUCGCGCGAUUGGAGCGGCCGAUAUCAGAUUAGGUAGUUGGUGAGGUAAAGGCUCACCAAGCCGACGAUCUGUAGCUGGUCUGAGAGGACGACCAGCCACACUGGGACUGAGACACGGCCCAGACUCCUACGGGAGGCAGCAGUGGGGAAUUUUGGACAAUGGGCGCAAGCCUGAUCCCAGCAAUGCCGCGUGCAGGAUGAAGGCCUUGGUUGUAACUAGCUUUUGUUACGG